ACUUGGUAUCUUGGUGCCGGU
rnacentral:miRNA from 1 species